rnacentral:rRNA from 1 species
AUUGAACGCUGGCGGCAUGCCUUACACAUGCAAGUCGAACGGUAACGGGCCUUCGGGUGCCGACGAGUGGCGAACGGGUGAGUAAUGUAUCGGAACGUGCCCAGUAGUGGGGGAUAGCCCGGCGAAAGCCGGAUUAAUACCGCAUACGACCUACGGGUGAAAGGGGGGGAUCGCAAGACCUCUCGCUAUUGGAGCGGCCGAUAUCAGAUUAGGUAGUUGGUGGGGUAAAGGCCUACCAAGCCUGCGAUCUGUAGUUGGUCUGAGAGGACGACCAGCCACACGGGGACUGAGACACGGCCCAGACUCCUACGGGAGGCAGCAGUGGGGAAUUUUGGACAAUGGGCGCAAGCCUGAUCCAGCAAUGCCGCGUGCAGGAAGAAGGCCUUCGGGUUGUAAACUGCUUUUGUACGGAACGAAACGGUCCUGGUUAAUACCCGGGGCUAAUGACGGUACCGUAAGAAUAAGCACCGGCUAACUACGUGCCAGCAGCCGCCGUAAUAC